AUGAACGCUAGCGGCAGGCUUAACACAUGCAAGUCGAGGGCAUCGAGAGAGUAGCAAUACUUUGUCGGCGACCGGCGGACGGGUGCGUAACGCGUAUGCAACCUACCUUAGUACAGGGGGAUAACCGUUCGAAAGGGAGACUAAUACCGCAUAACAUUACUUUGAGGCAUCUUGAGGUAUAAAUCUUCGGAGGUAUAAGAUGGGCAUGCGUAGCAUUAGCUAGAUGGUGCGGUAACGGCGUACCAUGGCGACGAUGCUUAGGGGUUCUGAGAGGAAGGUCCCCCACACUGGUACUGAGAUACGGACCAGACUCCUACGGGAGGCAGCAGUGAGGAAUAUUGGUCAAUGGUCGGAAGACUGAACCAGCCAUGCCGCGUGCAGGAAGAAUGUCUUAUGGAUUGUAAACUGCUUUUGUAUGGGAAUAAUAAUAGCUUUGCGAAGUUAGAUGCAUGUACCAUACGAAUAAGGAUCGGCUAACUCCGUG
rnacentral:rRNA from 1 species